AUGUAGGGUAGAUGUUUGAUGGAUGAAUGUUUGAUGGAUGAAUGUUGGAUGGGUGUAGGGUAGAUGAUGGCUGGAUGGAUGUAGGGUAGAUGUUGGAUGGAUGUAGGAUAGAUGAUGGAUGUAGGGUAGAUGUUUGAUGGAUGGAUGUUGGAUGGAUGUAGGAUGUUGGAUAUAUGGAUGGAUGGAUGUUGACCAGAUGUUGGAUAUAUGGAUGGAUGUUGGAUGUGUGGAUGUUGGAUGGAUAUUGAUAUAUUCUUAUUUAUUUUAAUACAUUUUUUUAUUUAUUUUAGGGCCUGAACACUGAAAGUGUGUGGGGCAUAUGUUAAAUAUUUCAAAGGAUUUUUCAUUUCUUUAAAUAUCUCUAUAUCAUGAUUUCAAAAUUUGAGGCUUCACUGGAAAGAACAACUUGUGUUAACAUGACAUUAUGGAUUUAGUCCAAUCAAACAUAAUUUCAAUGCCUAUAUAAGAGAAACUGUUGGGUUUACAUAAAAGUUUAGGCUGAUGUUAUUCAAACAUUGAGUGCAGAUUGUACAGACCACUAGACAUUAAAUUAAUAAUUUGUUUUAAAAAUUUCAUAAAAAGUUUAUUGACUGACAACUGUGUGGCAUAAACUGUGUCAUUACAAUAAAAUUGGUCAUUUCAGUUUUGUCAUAAAA